AGUGGACGCUGGCGGUAGGCCUAACACAUGCAAGUCGAACGGCAGCGCAGGAGAGCUUGCUCUCUGGGUGGCGAGUGGCGGACGGGUGAGGAAUACAUCGGAAUCUACUCUGUCGUGGGGGAUAACGUAGGGAAACUUACGCUAAUACCGCAUACGACCUACGGGUGAAAGCAGGGGACCUUCGCGCCUUGCGCGAUUGAAUGAGCCGGUGUCGGAUUAGCUAGUUGGCGGGGUAAAGGCCCACCAAGGCGACGAUCCGUAGCUGGUCUGAUAGGAUGAUCAGCCACACUGGAACUGAGACACGGUCCAGACUCCUACGGGAGGCAGCAGUGGGGAAUAUGUGACAAUGGGCGCAAGCCUGAUCCAGCCAUACCGCGUGGGUGAAGAAGGCCUUCGGGUUGUAAAGCCCUUUUGUUGGGAAAGAAAUCCAGCUGGCUAAUACCCGGUUGGGAUGACGGUACCCAAAGAAUAAGCACCGGCUAACUUCGUGCCAGCCGCCGCGGUAA
rnacentral:rRNA from 1 species